ACCCUGGUGGUCUAGUGGCUAAGGAUUCUGUGCUCUCACUGCAGCAGCCCAGGUUCUAUUCCCAGGCAGGAAA